CCUACGGGUGGCUGCAGUUUCGAAUCAUUCACAAUGGGCGAAAGCCUGAUGGUGCGACGCCGCGUGAGGGAUGAAGGCCUUCGGGUUGUAAACCUCUGUCACUGGGGAAGAAACGCUUCAAGUUAAUAGCUUGAAGCCUGACUUAACCCAGAGAGGAAGCAGUGGCUAACUCUGUGCCAGCAGCCGCGGUAAUACAGAGACUGCAAGCGUUAUUCGGAUGUGCUCAGCGGAAAGGGUGCGUUAGCGGCCAAAGCCCGGGGCUUAACCUCGGAAUUGCGCCUAAAACUACACGGCUAGAGCAUUGGAGAGGGUAGCGGAAUUCACGGUGUAGCAGUGAAAUGCGUAGAUAUCGUGAGGAACACCAGAGGCGAAGGCGGCUACCUGGACAAUUGCUGACGCUCAGGCACGAAAGCGUGGGGAGCAAAAGGGAUUAGAUACCCCAGUAGUC
rnacentral:rRNA from 1 species